rnacentral:misc_RNA from 1 species
CCGAGUUUACAACUCCCAAACCCAAUGUGAACCGUACCAAACCGUUGCCUCGGCGGGGUCACGCCCCGGGCGCGUCGCAGCCCCGGAACCAGGCGCCCGCCGGAGGGACCAACCAAACUCUUUACUGUAGUCCCCUCGCGGACGUUAUUUCUUACAGCUCUGAGCAAAAAUUCAAAUGAAUCA